rnacentral:rRNA from 1 species
UACGUAGGGUGCAAGCGUUGUCCGGAAUUACUGGGUGUAAAGGGUCCGCAGGCGGGCAGACAAGUCGGUGGUGAAAUCCCUCCGCUCAACGGAGGAACUGCCUUCGAUACUGUCUGUCCUGAGCUCGAGAGAGGAUGAUGGAAUUCAUGGUGUAGCGGUGAAAUGCGUAGAGAUCAUGAAGAACACCGGAAGCGAAGGCGGUCAUCUGGCUCGAUACUGACGCUCAGGGACGAAAGCGUGGGGAG